AUGACUUUCAUCAUCAUCUUCAUCUGGACACUCACAGUCUUUACUCAAGUGUGUAGAGGACAGUACACUCUUACUCAGAGUCCAUCAAUAACAGCAGUUCAACCAGGACAACAAGUUAAAAUAAACUGUAAAGUCAGCAGUGCAGUGCAUAGUGGUAUUUGUUUAGCCUGGUACUUACAGAAACUCCUCAUAUAUUAUGCAACAACCCUCUACACAGGAACCCCAUCAAGAUUCAGUGGCAGCGGAUCAAACACAGAUUUCACUUUGACCAUCAGUGGAGUUCAGACUGAAGAUCCAGGAGAUUAUUACUGUCAGAGUUAUCACAGUGGUUAUGUGUUGACACAGUGA